UAGAGCGGCGGACGGGUGAGUAACACGUGGACAAUCUGCCCCCGGCCCGGGAUAGCCAGGGAAACCUGGAUUAAUACCGGAUGAGACGGGACCCGCGAAGGCGGGACCGGGAAGGCGCUGCGGCGCCGCCGGGGGAUGAGUCUGCGUCCAUUAGCUAGACGGCGGGUAACGGCCCACCGUGGCGACGAUGGGUAGCCGGCCUGAGAGGGUGGACGGCCACAUUGGAACUGAGACACGGUCCAGACUCCUACGGGAGGCAGCAGCUAAGAAUCUUCCGCAAUGGGCGAAAGCCUGACGGAGCCGACGCCGCGUGAACGAAGAAGGCCGUGAGGUUGUAAAGUUCUUUUCGGGAGGGGGAACAACCGUGGCAGGGAAUGGCCGCGGGAUGACGUGAAUCCCGGAAUAAGCCCCGGCUAACUACGUGCCAGCCGCCGC
rnacentral:rRNA from 1 species